rnacentral:rRNA from 1 species
AGUGAACGCUGGCGGUAGGCUUAACACAUGCAAGUCGAACGGCAGCACAGUAAGAGCUUGCUCUUACGGGUGGCGAGUGGCGGACGGGUGAGGAAUAUAUCGGAAUCUACUUUUUCGUGGGGGAUAACGUAGGGAAACUUACGCUAAUACCGCAUACGACCUACGGGUGAAAGCAGGGGAUCUUCGGACCUUGCGCGAUUGAAUGAGCCGAUGUCGGAUUAGCUAGUUGGCGGGGUACAGGCCCACCAAGGCGACGAUCCGUAGCUGGUCUGAGAGGAUGAUCAGCCACACUGGAACUGAGGCACGGUCCAGACUCCUACGGGAGGCAGCAGUGGGGAAUAUUGGACAAUGGGCGCAAGCCUGAUCCAGCCAUACCGCGUGGGUGAAGAAGGCCUUCGGGUUGUAAAGCCCUUUUGUUGGGAAAGAAAAGCAGCAGGUUAAUACCCCGCUGUUCUGACGGUACCCAAAGAAUAAGCACCGGCUAACUUCGUG